rnacentral:lncRNA from 1 species
GAGCUGAAAGAGACACACAAAAUAACACCUAAAAGAUACGCCUAAAAAGGGAAAAAAAAAAUAACACCUGGCGAAAAGAAGGAGCUGAGCGCAGAAGACCAAAAAAGAGACCCCUUCGCUGCGCGUCAUCUUCUCCAAAGGACCCUGCUCUCUACAUCGAUCAAAAAACCAACGACUGCUGCUUCUUGUUCGAUCCCAACCACAACAGCCAUUAGCAACCUUCUCACACCGUAGCAGCCAGAACAAAAUGAUCCUCCACUCAUUCUCUUCAUCUUCUAUAGCGGCAAAAAACAGAGACGGAAAAAUCUGCGGAAAAAUGAGUCAAAUUAGCGGAAAACAGAGUUAAGCUCCUUUUCUUUUGCAUCUGUUUUAGCCAAAUACAACUCGAAACACCCUGAACCACACUAGACCAGAGCUCAAAAUCUCCAUCCCAAAUCCAGUCGAGUUUGUGUUGUCGAGUAUUUCGGCGCGGUCUUUGGUUAACGGGUUUAUUCGAGGUUGCGAUUCCGGUCCAGAUGCCUAGUGUGUAGCUCAGCUCAAAUGCUUUGCUGUCCUAGAGCUUUAUUUUCAUUGUAUUUGUUCGGAAUUUUAAUAAUAUAAGGUCAGUUCUUCCAUUUCGUUUUCAUCUAGUCGCUUGGUUAAAUUGACAUCAAUAUGCUGUAUAUUCCCAUGAUUGAAAUCAGACACGGUUCUUAUUGCUUUGUUUUAAUUA